rnacentral:lncRNA from 1 species
UUAUGGCUUAGAGUGUGAGCAUAUAUUUAUUCUUGAAUUGUUGUUGAUGAUGUAGCAUUGCUAGGUGAUUAGCAUGCAUGUUGUGGCCUUUAUGGUGGUAGCUAAUUCCCAUGGUGAGGAAUUAGUGAUGAGUUAUUGUGGAUUGUUGUUGAUGUUUGCAUGCUAGGUGUUUAGCGUGCAUAGCAUGGCCCUUGGGGUGGUAGCUAAU